rnacentral:rRNA from 1 species
UACGAAGGGGGGCUAGCGUUGCUCGGAAUCACUGGGCGUAAAGGGUGCGUAGGCGGGUCUUUAAGUCAGGGGUGAAAUCCUGGAGCUCAACUCCAGAACUGCCUUUGAUACUGAAGAUCUUGAGUUCGGGAGAGGUGAGUGGAACUGCGAGUGUAGAGGUGAAAAUUUCGUAGAUAUUCGCAAGAACACCAGUGGGCGAAGGGCGCUCACUGGCCCGAUACUGACGCUGAUGCACGAAAAGCGUGGGGGAGCAAACAGG